rnacentral:rRNA from 1 species
UACGUAGGUGGCAAGCGUUGUCCGGAAUUAUUGGGCGUAAGGCGCGCGCAGGCGGUCCUUUAAGUCUGAUGUGAAAGCCCACGGCUCAACCGUGGAGGGUCAUUGGAAACUGGGGGACUUGAGUACAGAAGAGAAGAGUGGAAUUCCACGUGUAGCGGUGAAAUGCAUAGAGAUGUGGAGGAACACCAGUGGCGAAGGCGACUCUUUGGUCUGUAACUGACGCUGAGGCGCGAAAGCGUGGGGAGCAAACAGG